UUCUUUCGGGUCUGUAGUUGCGAGGCGCGCUUGCGCUUCAAGUCCAAGGCAGACGCGGUCGAAAGGAUCCACGUAAACGGCUUCGCUUCGGCGGGGUCGCGAGCACGGCGCGUUCUAGAGGUAAGUCGCAUCGCCCGUUCAUAUUUCCGCAGCAUGGUGCCGCGGCGGGCGAGAGGGUGAUGGUGAGAGCUCAGCCCCGAUGCGCGGGUGUGGGGUCGAAGACUAGGUCAGCCGGAAGAA
rnacentral:ncRNA from 1 species